AAACAAAGGGAUUUGUAUUAGUUCUCUGCCAGAGGUCAACCAUCUCAGGCAGAGAAUGAGAGAUGUUUGGGACACCAAAAACAGUAACAGUUUGUAAAGCCUGUGGCUAUAGUAAGCCAGCUGCAGAGCAUCCCUUCUCUUAGCUUAUGAUACGUCACUUUGUCACUGUGAAUAGUGCUGAUAUGCUUUUUGGCAGUGGCACAAAACUUACAGUAAUCGGGAAGAAUGAGAAAAUCAUACCUCCAGCUGUGGCCAUCUUUUCCCCAUCAAAGCAGGAGAUCCAGCAGAAGAGCAAGGCCACGCUGGUGUGCCUGGCCUCUGGUUUCUACCCUGACCACCUGACUCUGGUCUGGAGGGUGAACGGCGUGAAAAGGACCGAGGGGGUGGGGACAGACGAGUCCUCCACACGGAAUGGGAGCACCUACUCACUGACCAGCCGGCUGAGGAUGCCAGCCUGGGAGUGGUUCAACCCUUCCAAUCGCUUCGAAUGCAUUGCCAAUUUUUUUCAGAAUGGAACAACGCAAUCAAUGAACAAAUUUAUCUAUGGUGAUGUUGGUUGUGCACUCACAGAAGAGUCGUACUUGCGGUAUGGAAAUUCUCUGAAGCUCACGUACCUCAUCCUCUGUGGCAAAGCCUUGGUCUAUGCGGUUCUGGUGAGUGGUCUGGUGUGGACGGCCAAGACUGGUACCAAAUUAUCUAGAGAAUAAAAGAAGAGCAUUUGUCAUCACAUCAGCAGGAACACAGCAAGUUCACUACCUUUCCGUAGAAAAGCAUAUAUGCUUCUAAGAACUUCUGAAUAUAAUUGUUUUAUAAUCGUCUGUUGCCAUCCUGUUCUUCACUGUGUUGCAAUCACUGUACUUCCAUAUCAUAAUGCAUCAUAUUUUAUUGUAAUGUAUCUUUAAAAUUAGCAUCUUUUUAAUGUUUAGUGGCUAAGAACUCAUCUCUUUGAUUUAGCAAUAAAGUUUUCACUUCUUUUCCCUUGAAAUCCAUGAUUUGUUGCUUUUAAAUUUGGU